UCAAACUUGGUCAUUUAGAGGAAGUAAAAGUCGUAACAAGGUUUCCGUAGGUGAACCUGCGGAAGGAUCAUUAAAGAUUCUGACCUUCGGGUCAAACCCUUCAGCUGUGCGCUUCGGCUGCACGCUGAUAAACCUCACACACCUGUGCACAUUUCGGUUGCAGUCUUGCAUGCAAGUCUGCUUCCGCUUUCACAUACAACUACAUGUCUUGAAUGUAAAUAACUAUAAAAGUAACAACUUUCAACAACGGAUCUCUUGGCUCUCGCAUCGAUGAAGAACGCAGC
rnacentral:misc_RNA from 1 species